CAGGUGGGAGUGGUUUUGAAACUUGACUUUGAAAAAGCAUAUGACAAAGUCAAUUGGGACUUUUUGCUUGACUGUCAUAGGAAACGUGGGUUUAAUUCUAAGUGGUGUGGGUGGGUCUCGCAAAUACUGAAGAAUGGCACAGUUAGUGUCAAGAUCAAUGAUGAAGUGGGACCUUACAUCCAAAGUGCUAAGGGGGUGAGGCAGGGGGAUCCUCACUCCCCUUUCCUGUUUAAUAUUGCGGCUGACUGUCUGACCAAAAUGGUACUUACAGCACAAAAAAAUGGCCUCAUUAAAGGUUUAGCUGCUGAUCUUAUUGAGAAUGGGGUUUGCAUCCUGCAAUACGCGGAUGACACAGUACUUUGUUUUGAGCAUGAUAUUGACAAAGCUGUGAAUAUCAAGCUCUUGCUUUAUCUCUUCGAACUUAUGUCUGGGCUUAAGAUCAAUUUUGAGAAGAGUGAAAUAUUUAGUAUCGGGGGGGAUAAUGAUACUGAUUUGGUGUAUGCCAACAUGUUUGGGUGUCAAGUGGGCACACUUCCCAUGAAAUAUCUGGGAGUCCCUGUUACUUAUUCUACCCUCAAGAAUGCGGAUCUAGAUUUCCUUGACGGAAAAAUAAUCAAAAAACUUGAUGCCUGGGUAGCAUAUGCAGCAUCUUCUGGAGCUAGACUAACGUUGCUAGGGUCCAGUUUGGAUGGAAUUCCCUCUUUCCUCAUGUCAAUGUUCCUUUUUAAUAAGACCUUUAUUGAGAAGCUGGAUAAACAUCGCAGACGUUUCUUUUGGAGGAGGAAAAAUAAGAAACAUGGAUACCAUAUGGUUAAGUGGACGAGGAUAUGUCGAUCGAAAAGGAUUGGGGGAUUAGGGAUUAAAGAUCUUCAUAAACAAAAUAUUGCCCUACUUGUUAAGUGGUGGUGGAAGUUAGAAACAAGUGAUGGGCUAUGGCAGCGUAUUGUAAGAGCUAGAUACUUCAGGAAC
rnacentral:rRNA from 1 species